AAAGCAGGCUGUAAUUGCAGUGCUUUAGUUUGUGGAAGUACUGCCAUUGUCCUGCUGAAAGAAAUAGCCAUGUUGGCCGGCCUGGUUUUGCCUCCUCGGGUGAGAUCAUGAUCGAUUAUCACAUACAAUU
ensembl:snoRNA